rnacentral:rRNA from 1 species
UACGUAGGGGGCAAGCGUUGUCCGGAAUUAUUGGGCGUAAAGAGCGUGUAGGCGGUCCGGUUAGUCGGCUGUGAAAGUCGGGGGCUCAACCCUCGGAUGCCGGUGGAUACUGUCGGGCUUGAGUACGGAAGAGGCGAGUGGAAUUCCUGGUGUAGCGGUGAAAUGCGCAGAUAUCAGGAGGAACACCAAUUGCGAAGGCAGCUCGCUGGGACGUUACUGACGCUGAGACGCGAAAGCGUGGGGAGCAAACAGG